UAAGGAAUAUUGCGCAAUGGGGGAAACCCUGACGCAGCAACGCCGCGUGGAGGAUGACACUUUUCGGAGCGUAAACUCCUUUUAUCAGGAAAGAAUAAUGACGGUACCUGAUGAAUAAGCACCGGCUAACUCCGUGCCAGCAGCCGCGGUAAUACGGGGGGUGCAAGCGUUACUCGGAAUCACUGGGCGUAAAGGACGCGUAGGCGGAUUAUCAAGUCUUUUGUGAAAUCUAGUGGCUUAACCACUAAACUGCUUAGGAAACUGAUAGUCUAGAGUAGGGGAGAGGUAGAUGGAAUUCUUGGUGUAGGGGUAAGAUCCGUAGAGAUCAAGAAGAAUACCCAUUGCGAAAGCGAUCUGCUGGAACCUAACUGACGCUGAGGCGUGAAAGCGUGGGUAGCAAACAGG
rnacentral:rRNA from 1 species